rnacentral:rRNA from 1 species
UACGUAGGGGGCAAGCGUUGUCCGGAAUUAUUGGGCGUAAAGAGCGUGUAGGCGGUCCGGUAAGUCAGCUGUGAAAGUCAAGGGCUCAACCCUUGAAAGCCGGUUGAUACUGUCGGGCUAGAGUCCGGAAGAGGCGAGUGGAAUUCCCAGUGUAGCGGUGAAAUGCGCAGAUAUCGGGAGGAACACCAAUGGCGAAGGCAGCUCGCUGGGACGGUACUGACGCUGAGACGCGAAAGCGUGGGGAGCAAACAGG